rfam:Nomascus leucogenys chromosome 4, whole genome shotgun sequence.
GCUGGGUGUGGUGGCUCAUGCCUGUAAUCCUAGCACUUUGGGAGGCUGAGGCAGGUGGAUCACCUGAGGUCAGGAGUUCGAAACCAGCCUGGUCAACAUGGUGAAACCCUGUCUCUA